AUUUUAAAUGGAGGACAUAAACCAGCAACCUCCCUGUACACAGGUAUUUCUCCCAUUUUACUUUCUGUGGUAGAGACUAGGCCAUGGCAUGAAAAAGGCAGUGAGUUGGUCAGCCAGUGUAAAUGACCAAACCAGACCUGUACUGGUCCCAUUCAGACACCCUGAGAACUUAGCAAACAUUUCUGGCUGUGUCCUGUGAGACCAUCAUGUGUAUAAUCUGUCUGUUUCUAACAGCAGAGAGCCAUGAGGAGAUAUUUCAUAAGGAAGAUUUUGCAAUACAUGUUUACAAACCAUUCUCCUACAUGAGACAAAGUGACCCUCAUUUUGAGUAAGAGGCAUGCAAGAAAGAUGCUCAGACGUGUUCUCCCUGUGUUUCUGUUUCUUGUCUUUCCAGGGGGCUGUUCAUUGCAGUGAUUGUGAGUCUGCUCUUCCUUGUGUUAUUGAGCUUCACAGCUGGGGUUCUCUUCUGGAUUUUCAUCUUGGGCAUGAUUGGAAUUAUAGGUUAUGGCACGUGGCACGGUUACGACCAUCUCGAAGGAAUACCUGGAUCUGCCCUCACUCUUUGUGAUCCUGGAUUCCAGAGAGACUUCCGAGUGUACCUGCAGCUGAGGCAAAAGUGGGUAGCGUUUAUGCUUGGGACAAGCUACAUUAACUUGACAGAGCUGAACUGGAUUGAGACCAGCUUCAA